UGUAUGGCUUCCUGCAAAUCUGCCUGUGGCUGGGGUCACUCCGCGCGGGCACUGUGGCUUUUGUCUGCAUCUGCACAACUAGAUG
rfam:Camelus ferus unplaced genomic scaffold scaffold843, whole genome shotgun sequence.